AGUGAACGCUGGUGGUAGGCCUAACACAUGCAAGUCGAACGGCAGCACAGUAAGAGCUUGCUCUUACGGGUGGCGAGUGGCGGACGGGUGAGGAAUACAUCGGAAUCUACUUUUUCGUGGGGGAUAACGUAGGGAAACUUACGCUAAUACCGCAUACGACCUACGGGUGAAAGCAGGGGAUCUUCGGACCUUGCGCGAUUGAAUGAGCCGAUGUCGGAUUAGCUAGUUGGCGGGGUAAAGGCCCACCAAGGCGACGAUCCGUAGCUGGUCUGAGAGGAUGAUCAGCCACACUGGAACUGAGACACGGUCCAGACUCCUACGAGAGGCAGCAGUGGGGAAUAUUGGACAAUGGGCGCAAGCCUGAUCCAGCCAUACCGCGUGGGUGAAGAAGGCCUUCGGGUUGUAAAGCCCUUUUGUUGGGAAAGAAAAGCAGCAGGUUAAUACCCCGCUGUUCUGACGGUACCCAAAGAAUAAGCACCGGCUAACUUCGUG
rnacentral:rRNA from 1 species